CAGAAGGGCAGGCUGACAAAAUGGUGUCUGACAUGGAAGGAUGUAUGAAGAGAAGUCUUUUUACACAAGGAGAACACAACAAGAAGGCAUAUGAAAAAAACAAGUGGAAAAAGUGGAAAAGAAUGUGCAGCAAGUGAAGUUCGAGAAAAGUCUUCCAUCUGAUACAAUGGGAUUUGUAGCAGGGAAACCUGGACUUCCUGAAGAAUUAAACAGAGGCUUCUGCAAACAAAGCAGUAAAUAGCCAGCCACAGUAAUCCGCAGCAAUGCUCCUGCAUGAGAAAGGAAACCCCUCCUUUAUAGUGCCAGAGGAGGUACUGAGAGAUUAUUAUUCAACUACGUGGGACGAAGCAACAAACAAAGGUCGGGACGCUAUUCCCACAGGCAAAGAACACUGGCAGGCUUUUAAACUCCCAUCCCACCAGUAUCAACCACAAAUCAAUACGUACUUCAAUAUUUUAGCAUAAGUGAGUAUAUUACAUGGAUAGCACUUGAUAAACUAUUUAAUCUCUUGAGUAGUAGAGAAUAUGUAAACUUCAGGUCAGAAAUCCUUAUCUGUAACAUUUCCAGAGUAUAUCUUUGAGUAAGGAUUUUUAUUUUUUUUUAAAGCUGUAUUAAUACUACUCUUUAUCUUGCAUUCAUUGUGGCAGGUUCUAGAAAAUACCAAAAGCUGGCAUUGAGAACAUCACAUCUUUCUUUGUGCUCCAUUCAAAUUCAAAUUCUGCAGGCAAAAAUCUGCAGAGGACUAACUUUUAACUAAGCUGCAAUUAUUAUUCAGAUAUACGUACUUGUUGCUGAAGAGUUUUUCUAGCAGAAUAUAAAUCACAAUAAAACCAAUGCAGAGUACAACAAUUAGAAUUAAAGCAAAUACAUGUUGCUUUUAAAUGCAUUCAGUUCACCAAUAGGUCAUGUACUGCAUGAUAUUCUGACAUUUGUGCAGUUCCUUAGUAUCUGACCCACAGUCAAUCUACAGAGUAAAAAAUGGAAUUCCUUCCACAUUCAUAGCAUGCAACAUUAUCUAUGCAAUGCUAACAAAUAUCUUAAGGAAUUUCUACAAGAUUAAAAACAAAACCAAAAAAACCCCGAACGUUAUAUCACCAAAAAGCAUUAAAAUAAGCAUUAAAAUUACACCAAGCUUUGCAGCAUGCAUUCCUAGCAGUUAUGCCAAACAGGAACAUACACAAACUCUAUGAUAAACUAUUAAAAAGGAUAUAAAAAAAAAAAUCAUCUUCUAGUAACACCAGCAGAACCUGCCAUAAUUCCUAUUAAAUGUCUUAAAACAUUUUCCAUCUACUGGAGAAAGCAAAGCUUUUGCUACCCUACAGCUUUUCCAACGCCUCAAUAAGUGCAGUUUCACAAGUGAUGGCAGAACACCUUAGAGGGUUUCAAGACAAGAAAGAAAGAACAAAGACGAAUAAACAGCUCCUAUUAAAACAA